rnacentral:misc_RNA from 1 species
GAUGAAGAACGCAGCAAAAUGCGAUAAGUAAUGUGAAUUGCAGAAUUCAGUGAAUCAUCGAAUCUUUGAACGCACAUUGCGCCCGCCAGCAUUCUGGCGGGCAUGCCUGUUCGAGCGUCAUUUCAACCCUCGACCUCCCCUUGGGGAGGUCGGCGUUGGGGACCGGCAGCACACCGCCGGCCCUGAAAUGGAGUGGCGGCCCGUCCGCGGCGACCUCUGCGCAGUAAUACAGCUCGCACCGGGACCCCGACGCGGCCACGCCGUAAAACACCCAACUUCUGAACGUUGACCUCGAAUCAGGUAGGACUACCCGCUGAACUUAAGCAUAUCAAUAAGCGGAGGA